rnacentral:rRNA from 1 species
AUUGAACGCUGGCGGCAUGCCUUACACAUGCAAGUCGAACGGUAACAGGUCUUCGGAUGCUGACGAGUGGCGAACGGGUGAGUAAUACAUCGGAACGUGCCUAGUAGUGGGGGAUAACUACUCGAAAGAGUGGCUAAUACCGCAUGAGAUCUACGGAUGAAAGCAGGGGAUCGCAAGACCUUGUGCUACUAGAGCGGCCGAUGGCAGAUUAGGUAGUUGGUGGGAUAAAAGCUUACCAAGCCGACGAUCUGUAGCUGGUCUGAGAGGACGAUCAGCCACACUGGGACUGAGACACGGCCCAGACUCCUACGGGAGGCAGCAGUGGGUAAUUUUGGACAAUGGGCGAAAGCCUGAUCCAGCAAUGCCGCGUGCAGGAUGAAGGCCUUCGGGUUGUAAACUGCUUUUGUACGGAACGAAACGGUCCUGGUUAAUACCCGGGGCUAAUGACGGUACCGUAAGAAUAAGCACCGGCUAACUACGUGCCAGCCGCCGCCGUAA